CCUACGGGCGGCAGCAGUGAGGAAUAUUGGUCAAUGGCCGGAAGGCUGAACCAGCCAAGCCGCGUGAGGGAGGAAGGCGCAGAGCGUCGCAGACCUCUUUUGCCGGGGGACAAAAGGUCGGACGGGUCCGGUUCUGAGGGUACCCGGAGAAAAAGCAUCGGCUAACUCCGUGCCAGCAGCCGGGGUAAUACGGAGGAUGCGAGCGUUAUCCGGAUUCAUUGGGUUUAGGGGGUGCGCAGGCGUGCCUUUAAGCCGGCGGAGAAGCGCGGGGCUCAACCCCGACGAGCCGUCGGUACUGGGGGCCGUGAGUGCGGCGGAGGCAUGCAGAAUGCGAGGUGUAGCGGUGAAAUGCGUAGAGAUCGGGCGGAACCCCGAUGGCGAAGGCGGCGUGCCGUGC
rnacentral:rRNA from 1 species